GUAUUAGUUAUGUUCUUGAAACUCAUAGGAUUUGGCGGUAUUUUAGUCUUUUCAGAGGAACCUGCCCCGUAAUUCGACACCCCACGUUUAUAUUUACUUUUGUUUGUUUAUCAGUUUGUAUACCUCCGUCAUAAGAGAGUCUUUUUAGAGCAAAUUUUCCUUUUCUUUUAAUGAGAAUAUGUCAGGUCAAGGUGCAAUUUAUACAGAAGUGGAGGUGGGUUACAAUAUAUUUAAUGUAUAUGGAUUAGUGAUUUUGUGUUGCUAUGAAGGUGGAUUUGAUAGUAAGAUUAGUUAUUUAGCUUUUCUGGCUUAUAGCUCUAAGAUAUGCACACAU
rnacentral:rRNA from 1 species